UACGUAGGGUGCAAGCGUUGUUCGGAAUUAUUGGGCGUAAAGAGCUCGUAGGCGGUCUGUCGCGUCGGCUGUGAAAACCCGAGGCUCAACCUCGGGCCUGCAGUCGAUACGGGCAAACUAGAGUACUGCAGGGGAGACUGGAAUUCCUGGUGUAGCGGUGAAAUGCGCAGAUAUCAGGAGGAACACCGGUGGCGAAGGCGGGUCUCUGGGCAGUAACUGACGCUGAGGAGCGAAAGCGUGGGGAGCGAACAGG
rnacentral:rRNA from 1 species